rnacentral:rRNA from 1 species
GUGUCCCUACGGGGGGCAGCAGUGGGGAAUAUUGGGCAAUGGGCGCAAGCCUGACCCAGCAACGCCGCGUGAAGGAAGAAGGCGUUCGGGUUGUAAACUUCUUUUAAGAGGGAAGAGCAGAAGACGGUACCUCUUGAAUAAGCCACGGCUAACUACGUGCCAGCAGCCGCGGUAAUACGUAGGUGGCAAGCGUUGUCCGGAUUUACUGGGUGUAAAGGGCGUGCAGCCGGGAAGACAAGUCAGAUGUGAAAUCCCGCGGCCCAACCGCGGAACUGCAUUGGAAACUGUUUUUCUUGAAUACGGGG